ACACAGUGGGAAUUAUAUUUCCUGCUCAGUCGGCGGAGGUGCUGACUCCUAAGCUCAUUACAGACCACCAGAGAGUCCUGUGGCCUCCAUCUCGCGAGGAGGAGGAGAAGGAGGAGAAAGGGUCCAUGACCCAGACUUGAAUGAAGGCUCUGAGGUGGAAGAGCUAUCUCUGUGAGAGUCCCGCUGGGCACACUGUCUACUGCCUGACAGCUUCACACAGCUAACCCUGCAUUUCUACUGCACUGUGCUCAUGUAGGACUUGCUAUAAUGGACAGUGGAAAACCCUUUAACGGGUAGUGUACUACUGUACACCUGGAGAACUCAGAUGGGAAGAAACCGUCACUCCCAAUCCCUUUUCCACUCAAAGUUACAUUAAAGUCUAUUUAUUCUUGUGGUCA